rnacentral:lncRNA from 1 species
UUCGUUCUAGUUGAUCAGUAGUGGAGCCUAGUUGGGGUCGAUCGGGGACCUUUGUCGCAUUUGGGGUUCUUCUUUUAUUUUGGUUCCGUAGUCGGACCUUGAUUGUAUCUGGUUGAUGUAAUGCUUUAUUCAUGUAAUUGUGUGAAGUGGCGAUUGUAAGCCAACUAUGUAUCUCUUUCCCUUAUGUAUUACAUGGGUUGUGUGAAGAUUACCUCACUUGCGACAUUGCUUUCAAUGCGGUUAUGCCUCUAAGUCGUGCUUCGACACGUGGGAGACAUAGCCGCAUCGAGGGCGUUACAAGUUGGUAAUCAGAGCCUUCCCCGACCUUAGGAGCCCCACUGCUUGAUCGUUUUUAGCGGCCGAGUUGUGUCUAGAAAAAUAUUUGAGUCAUUUAGGAUUAUAUAUAUCGGAGAGUUAGGAAUUCUUUUUACUCCCCAGUCUCUUCAUCGCUCUGGUAAGGCAUCCUGACGUAGAGUUUUGACUCUUCUCUUCUCAAAUUUCACUAAAAAAAAUUUUAGGAUCACGCGGGUAUCUUGGAAUCGUUCCGAUGGUUUUAUGAUGAGAACAUUGUCUUGGUGCCUCCUGUCAGGGGUUUAGUGGAAGUGUCCCGGGGAGUUGAGCUCUGAGGUGUUGUCGUCAUAAUUUUAUCGUUGCAGUUCUGGAAUACCUGAGUUUAGUACGCCGACAUCGAAAAUCUUUUUUAUGCAGUUGUUGGUGAGAUAACCCCGAUAACCCAGUACUGAGGUGAGUACGGGAGUAUUGCCAUGACUUGUAUAACGGAUGCUUUUCGAAGGUUGAGGUAGACGAUUUCCGAAGGUUUCUUGGUUAUGUGUUGAAGGAUGGAUACAGCUGGAUGUAGGAUUUGUUAGUUUUGGGUGAGAUAUUAUGCUUCCCCUGUAUCCCCAACACCUGAUUGCAUAACCUGAAAAUUUCGGGAAUUUCAUAGGUGGGAAUUCAAGUAGCUCUUAGGAUAUCGUUCCGACAGAUGUAUGAUUUGAAAUUGGGGUUCGACGUCUAGUGGUCCGCCUAUUCACGGUUGGUUUUACAGUGGUCUCGUUGUGUCUUAAAGAGUCCUUGGCUAUGCCGACUCGGGGACGCUUCGUAUGUCAUGUGCACUGCCUUGUACAUGAUGGUGCUGUAUGAUCGAGCCCGUGUAGGCCCCACCACGAAAACUUCGGACGAAAUCUCUAUCAUAUAUUUGUUCCGGCUUAUUCUGCAAGCCAAAUCCUUUGUUUUGUUUUAUUUGUGGUAUUCGAGUUGCUUCGAAGUCAAAUGUUGAAUCCAUACCUUUCCUAAACGGUGUUCUCAUAUUGCUAUGUGAAUACUAAUCCUUCUUGAUCAUCGAGUUUGUCAUGUCAAUUCUUUCCAAUCGGCGUGCUUCUUCAAGUGGAUUCGAUCACUUCAACAUCAGCAAGACCAAUUAUCAUUUUUUCUCAACGGUGUUCGUUUCGUUCUCAACGGUGUUUUCCCACCCUCCCACCCUUGUUUUCUUGAAGGAUUCAGAAUUAUUGAUCAAGUAUCCAUCUUAUUGAUGUGAAGUCUCUCCAUUCUUUUCCUUCAAUGUUCUUAUCCGGUGAUUCUCAUGAAGUUUCUAACGGAGCUUCAAGUUCGUCAUUCUUCUUUCUUUUCUUCUCCGGUGGAUUCAAGUCAAGAUUUGUCGAUUAUAUCCCCUUUUCUCGUUUCAAAUACCUUCUCUUGACGAUGCUCCUCAUAUUCAUUCAUUUCUCGCUAUUCAAUUGUUCCGGAAUGCUCAAGAUAUCUCGAAGAUUCGUGUUUCCACUAUGCAUUCGUUCAAGAUCUUUCGAGGAUGUUCUCUCAUUCAAGUCUUUUAUUUCAACCGGUGCAUUAUCUCUCUUCAAAUUGUUCAACGGUGUUUCUUUUGAGUGGGCCCUAACCCACAGGUCUUUUUCCAGGAUCUUACCCGACUCUUCUUAUUUUCCCGGCGUUACUCUUAAAUUUUUCUCCAAGUUUGACGUAAGAAUGAGUUAUCAUCAGUCAAAUGCCUUUCUCCUUGAUCUUUCAAAUUCUUUUCAUAGUUGGCUCAACCUCUUCGCUUUUGAUUCUUCCGGUGUGCCUCAAUAAUUAUUGGUGGUGUUUCUCGUUGUCAUUCUCAUCAUUUGAAGACCGAAGAAGAGUUUCUCUUUAAUCUUGCUCUAUUCUCUUCAAGAUUCAUGGUGCUAGCUUGUUGCCAUCCUCUCAUAAUUGUUUUCGAUUGUGAGAAUCUUUUUCACCCAUCAGGAGAUAUUCAAGAGUCUUCUCAGUUUGUCAUCCAGAGUCCAUCAAUUCAGGUUUAUUCAUUCUCAGCCGUCAGUUAUCAUUCUCCUAUCUUGCCGGUGCAUCUAUUGAAUAUCCUCUAAUCAGUUCUUGAUCUCUUUGUUCUCAGGUAUCUAGUUUGUCUCAAGCACCUUCGUUCAUUUGCUGAUUCUUACCGGUGAUGCACCCCUACUUCGAUCAUUUUCAAUUCUUACGGUGGUUCUUUCAAGAUCUCUCUUCCUUGUUCAUCAUAUCAAUUCAUUUGUUGUUCCAAUCCUACCGGUGGUUCGUUGAAGACCUUCUCAAGUUUUGAUAUAUCUCUUUUAAUCCUUUCUACGAGAAUAAGUAGUAUGCCAAAUCCGUUGCUUGUCAUCAAUUUAUAUUGGUGAAGGUUACACAUAACAUAAUUCUUAUUCUUGUUUCAUCCAAGUGAUUAAUUCCUUCUUUCGGAGUUUGUUCAUGAUGAAUAAAUUCUCGGUUUCAGUUGUUUCAUCUUUUCUUUUCCCGGAGUUCUAAGCUCUAAUUAUCACGGAGAUCCAUAUAAAUCAUUGCAAGGAUUCACCUUGUGUUUUCAAUUUCUCUUUCUUUUUCAUUCCUUUUAUUUACCGGAGUUCUUCAUGGAGGUUCUACAUGAUGGUUCAUCAAGGAUUUAAUUCCCUUCUCAAAGUUUUCAUCGAGAUUCUUUCCUAAGGAGCUCAAGCUUUCUUCAUAUGGUAAUCCGGAGUCCAAUUCUUUCUACCAUAUUUUGGAGGUGGUAUUAUGUCAUUCUUGAUAAUUUGAGUUCAUGUUUUCCAUGAUUCACAUGUUGUUAAGAAUGAGUUAUUUUUAAAUCCAUCAACCUCGUUGUUGGAGUUAUCUUGUGUCAUAUUUCACCUAAAAGCCUUCCAUUGGGAAUGUUGCUAUUUGUGGUGCUUGCCAAUGAUCCAAGCUAUCUCUUUAUCAUCUUGGUGGAAGAAGUGUUCAUCUCUUCGUUAAUCUCAAGCAAGUAAUUGUUUCCGUUAGUGGCCGGUUGUCACCUCAUAAUUUUGAGAUGUUUUCCAUAAGCCCACUACAAGCUUAUUCGUUUCGUUGUUGAUUUUCCAACAACUCCGUUCAAUUCUUCUUUGCAAGGAUGCUUUCCAAACUCAUUUGUGGCAGAAGUUGGCAUUUUCUUCUCCAUUCUGUUAUUCCAAUGAUAUAUCUUCUAUUAUUUCUUUCGGAGGCAUUGUGACGUUGCUCUUUUCACUCACCAUCUCGAUUCGUGAGGAUCGUGUUCUUUUCUUGCUUAUCCAUUUAACCGGAGUGUCGUGUUUUCAUUCGAGUUCUCUAAUCUUAUCAAGUUUUCCCUCCUUUCUCAACUGGAGAGCUGUCUGAAAUCCUUCUUACCCAUUGUGUCAUUCUUUCAAUAGUUCCGGAGGCAGUGUGUUGUUGAUUUCAUCAAGUAACAUCCCAUCUUCUCAAGUUCAUGUUCUAUUCCUUCCAUGUUCAACCGGAGUACUGCCCGAAUUCUUCCCCUCUCAUCUUGUUUUAACCGGAGUGGUUUCGAAUUCUAUCUUGUCCAUUAAACUCUUGAUUCAUGUCUUUGCAACCUUCAAGUUCUCGUAAUGUUCCUUGUUCCUUUUUUUUCUAACGGAGUUCUUCUCAGUUGUGCUCUUUCUUUUAAAUUGCUCAACCUCUCAAGGUUCUUUGGUUUCACUCAUUGGUCGAAGAAGCAACUUAGUUUUACCUCUUCUCUUCCUCUUCCGUUUUUCCCUCCGGUGCCAUCCUAGAUCUCGGGACGAGAUCCUCUCGUAGUGGUGGAGUGUUGUAACGCCCCGGAUAUAGCUUUCCAUAUUCGUAACUCCAACUCUUGCCUUUUCCGGAGAUGCGAUAUGAUUUUUCCUUCGUGGUUGGGUUUUUGCUUUUUGUUUUGCAUUUUGUUCAUGUCAUGCAUUUCAUCAUCGCAUCAUUCGCAUUGCAUCGGCAUCGUUUUUCAUAAAACUUGCAUCCGCUCGUAGUUGUCGCUUUCCCCCCUUGCCUUCGUUGACCGAUCUGAGUCCAACCGGGUUUUCGAGUCCCUCUUGUCUGACCACCUAACCUCUCUUGCCAGCUCGCAGCACCCUCGUGUGCGUGUCCGAAACUUGCCCGAACCCGAACCGGUCUGUCAUUACCGUUGGGUCCGGAUCAUCCCCUAACAUCUACAAAAUAUCUCCUUUUCUUAUUUGGACUCUCUAGCCUAUUUUUUUUCGCCGUCCGAUUACGAUCGGAGGGACCAAAUACCCCUAUCCAAAAUUCACUUGUGUUAUAUAAAGACUAACCCUAGAAUCUAGGCACCUGUCCCAUCCUUCCAUUCCCUCCGCCGCCACCCGACCAAAACCCUCUCGGGAUCCCCUCCCGAUCCUUCUCCACCCAACCAGCUCUCUCCCUCCUCCUCGUUCCAGAUCCCCUCGCCCUCCUUCCUCGUUCGAUCCCCUCCCUCAUCUUGCCCGAUCCAAUCCAUCCAGCGCCUCCUCCUCCCCGCUCGAUCUCCCCUGCCAAUCCAACCACCUGCCCGAGGCCUCCCCUCGAUCCAACCCUCCUCGCUCUCCUCGUCGCCCUCGAGCCAAGAGCCCCUCGUUCGAGCGCCAACCUCCAGCAACCCCGAGCAUCCAACUCCUCCUGUGGCGCCCGUCCUUCUGUCCCCGAGCAAGCCGCAACAGAUGAGUUCAACGCAGCGCCCUUCCUCCCGUCUCUCUCUCUCUGACUACCUCUUAUGUUCCCUCUCUGAAUCUCUCUCUCUUUCUUUCUUCAGACAACAUCAGCAGCCGCUGCUCCCUCUCGCCGGGAACCGCUCCGCCACGACCUCCUCCCCGUCGCGCAGCCCUUCAUCGGAGUCCCAGUCGCACCAGGCCGCCGCUGCGUCCCCUGCUUCUCGUCGCGCCGGCCUCUGCUUCCUCUUCGUCGAGCAGGGACUCGCUCGUUCCAGCACGCCUCCACUCGCGUCCAGUUCCGUCGUCCGCCGUGGCCGUGGAGCUCGUCGGGGUCGUCCGCAUGCCGCUCCAGCCCCGCGCCAAGCUGCCGGAGUCCCAAGCCCCUGCGCACUCUCCGCCGCCCCGCCAAGUCCCUCCUGCCAUUGCCCGCUCCACCUCUUCGCCCGGUCUCCCCUCCUCGCCGUUGACCGCGCCGGAGUCCUCAGCGCCGCCGUGCCUGCUACUUGCUCCGUCGACUCGAGCCCUCAUCGUCCCGCGCCGCUGUCGUCUUCACGAACUGCACCGAGCGCAGUCGAGCUCUGCUUCCCCUGCGCGAGCUCCCUCCUGUUCGUUCAGGUCGAGCAGCAGCAGGUCGACGCCCGCGUUGACUGCGCCUCGCCCGCAAGCGACCGCCAGGUGGGCUCCAAGGCCCGGUUGCGCCCCCCAGCCGGCCUCCCGUGCCAGAUCGCGUGGCCCAGCGCGCCUCCGCGCCUAGCCAGCCUCCUCCACCAACGGGCCGAAGCCCAUGGGUGAGGCCAUCCCCCAGCGCCUCCUUUCCCUUCUGUUGGGCUAUCAGAUUCGGCCCGUGUCAUUAUUUUUUUCCGUUCUGCGGUUUUGCCCAAUUAUCCAGAGUCUGCAGUUUUACAGAUUGGACCCUAAACAUCAUGCAUAUAAUAUCUCACUAAUUAUGCAUCAUAUGUAAAAACUUUAAAUAUGUGAAAUGCUUAGAAUCUUGUGUAGAUUAAUAAUAUGCCACUUUCGUCCAUGUUUAAAAUGUUUAAAAUGAUGUUUGUUUAAAUUUGCUCAAAUGCCAUGUAAAAUGAUUUAUUUCAUAACUAAAUAACCGUAGCUCGGUUUUAAAUGUUCUUUAUAUGUAAAUGGGGUGGAAAAAUGCCUAGUUUAACAUGGUCCAUUUUAUUUUCCUGUUUAACAACUUUAAAAUAUGUUUUAGGGCAGAACAGUACCAAAAUUCAUAAUUUGCAUAUGGGGAUUCUCCGGAAUUGUUGUUUAUUGCUUCCGGCCUCAUUUUAACCUUGACUAGAUAGGUAGUUUUCAUUUGCUUCACCCUCUUGCCAUGCUUAACAACAUUUAAUAUUGUUGGGUACAUAAACGGGAUCACACUAAAUAACUUAUCGUGGUAUUUCGUCAAUAUGCAACUCGUUGCAUAUUGAGCUCCAUUUAAUUUGUAGGAUUGUUUGUGCACUUUGCCAUGCCAUGCCUCAUUAAACCGGACAUGCAUCAUACUUGUUUGUGCAUCAUGACUUGUUUAUGCUUGUGUGUUUACUAUGUUGUUUGUUUCUUUCCGGGUUGCUUCUCACGUUAGCUUCGGUUUCGUUCCGGAGUUGUGAGGAUUCGUUCGUCUACGGCCGUUUGUCUUCUUCUUGGAUUCGUUCUUCUUCCUUGCGGGAUUUCAGGCAAGAUGAUCAUACCCUCGAAAUCACUACUAUCUUUGCUAUGCUAGUUUGCUCGCUCUUUUGCUAUGCCAAUGCUACGAUGCCUACCAUUUGCUUGUCAGCCUCCCAAAUUGCCAUGUCAAACCUCUAACCCACCAUGUCCUAGCAAACCGUUGAUUGGCUAUGUUACCGCUUUGCUCAGCCCCUCUUAUAGCGUUGUUAGUUGCAGGUGAAGAUUAAAGUUGUUCCUUGUUGGAACAUGGAGAUGUUGUUCCUUGUUGGAACAUGUUUACUUGUUGGGAUAUCACAAUAUAUCUUAUUUAAUUAAUGCAUCUAUAUACUUGGUAAAGGGUGGAAGGCUCGGCCUUAUGCCUGGUGUUUUGUUCCACUCUCGCCGCCCUAGUUUCCGUCAUAUCGGUGUUAUGUUCCCGGAUUUUGCGUUCCUUACACGGUUGGGCUAUAAUGGGAACCCCUUGACAGUUCGCCUUAAGUAAAGCUCCUCCAGCAAUGCCCAACAUUGGUUUUACCAUUUGCACUAACAACCUACCACCUUCCCUUGGGUUCUGCAGACUCAAGGGUCAUCUUUAUUCUAACCCCCCCGGGCCAGUGCUCCUCUGAGUGUUGGUCCGAACUGAGCUGCCUGCGGGGCCACCUCGGGGAAACUUGAGGGUUGGUUUUACUCGUAGCUAGUCUCAUCUGAGUGUGCCCUGAGAAAGAGAUAUGUGCAGCUCCUAUCGGGAUUUGUCGGCACAUUCGGGCGGUGUUGCUGGUUUAGUUUUACCCUGUCGAAAUGUCUUGUUGUACCGGGAUACCGAGUCUGAUCGGAACGUCUCGGGUGGAGGUCUAUUCCUUCGUUGACCGUGAGAGCUUGUCAUGGGCUAAGUUGGGACACCCCUGCAGGGUAUUAUCUUUCGAAAGCCGUGCCCGCGGUUAUGGGCAGAUGGGAAUUUGUUAACGUCCGGUUGUAGAAAACCCGAAGUUGACCUUAAUUAAAAUACAUCAACCGCGUGUGUAACCGUGAUGGUCUCUUUCCGGCGGAGUCCAGAAAGUGAACACGGUUGUUGGAGUUAUGCUUGACGUAGGUAGUCCAGGAUCACUUCUUGAUCAUACCUUUAUCGACCGUGCUUUGCCUUCUCUUCUCGCUCUCAUUUGCGUAUGUUAGCCACCAUAUAUGCUAGUCGCUUGCUGCAGCUCCACCUCAUACCUUUACCUUACCCAUAAGCUUAAAUAGUCUUGAUCUCGCGGGUGCGAGAUUGCUGAGUCCCUGUGGCUCACAGAUACUUCCAAAACCAGCUUGCAGGUGCUGAUGAGUCUGUGCAAAUGACGCAACCAAGCUCAAGGAGGAGCUCGAUGAAGAUCUUGCCCUUUGUGUUGUUUCGUUCUAGUUGAUCAGUAGUGGAGCCUAGUUGGGGUCGAUCGGGGACCUUUGUCGCAUUUGGGGUUCUUCUUUUAUUUUGGUUCCGUAGUCGGACCUUGAUUGUAUCUGGUUGAUGUAAUGCUUUAUUCAUGUAAUUGUGUGAAGUGGCGAUUGUAAGCCAACUAUGUAUCUCUUUCCCUUAUGUAUUAAAUGGGUUGUGUGAAGAUUACCUCACUUGCGACAUUGCUUUCAAUGCGGUUAUGCCUCUAAGUCGUGCUUCGACACGUGGGAGACAUAGCCGCAUCGAGGGCGUUACAAU